rnacentral:rRNA from 1 species
UACGUAGGGGCCUAGCGUUGUCCGGAUUUAUUGGGCGUAAAGAGCUCGUAGGCGGUUUGGUGAGUCGGGUGUGAAAUCUCCACGCUCAACGUGGAGGAGCCACCCGAUACUGCCAUGACUGGAGUCCGGUAGGGGAGUGUGGAAUUCCCGGUGUAGCGGUGAAAUGCGCAGAUAUCAGGAGGAACACCGGUGGCGAAGGCGGGUCUCUGGGCCGGAACUGACGCUGAGGAGCGAAAGCGUGGGGAGCGAACAGG